rnacentral:rRNA from 1 species
GACGAACGCUGGCGGCGUGCUUAACACAUGCAAGUCGAACGGAAAGGCCCUGCUUUUGUGGGGUGCUCGAGUGGCGAACGGGUGAGUAACACGUGAGUAACCUGCCCUUGACUUUGGGAUAACUUCAGGAAACUGGGGCUAAUACCGGAUAGGAGCUCCUGCUGCAUGGUGGGGGUUGGAAAGUUUCGGCGGUUGGGGAUGGACUCGCGGCUUAUCCGCUUGUUGGUGGGGUAGUGGCCUACCAAGGCUUUGACGGGUAGCCGGCCUGAGAGGGUGACCGGCCACAUUGGGACGGAGAUACGGCCCAGACUCCUACGGGAGGCAGCAGUGGGGAAUAUUGCACAAUGGGCGGGAGCCUGAUGCAGCAACGCCGCGUGCGGGAGGACGGCCUUCGGGUUGAAAACCGCUUUCGCCUGUGACGAAGCGUGAGUGACGGUAAUGGGUAAAGAAGCACCGGCUAACUACGU